rnacentral:rRNA from 1 species
UACGGAGGGGGCUAGCGUUGUUCGGAAUUACUGGGCGUAAAGCGCACGUAGGCGGACUGGAAAGUCAGGGGUGAAAUCCCGGGGCUCAACCCCGGAACUGCCUUUGAAACUCCCGGUCUUGAGGUCGAGAGAGGUGAGUGGAAUUCCGAGUGUAGAGGUGAAAUUCGUAGAUAUUCGGAGGAACACCAGUGGCGAAGGCGGCUCACGGGCUCGAUAAUGACGUUGAGGAGCGAAAGCGUGGGGAGCAAACAGG